rnacentral:rRNA from 1 species
AACAAUGAUUCCCUUAGUAACUGCGAGUGAAGUGGGAAGAGCUCAACGUUGAAAGCUACAUUUUUAACGAAAUGUCGCAUUGUAACGUAUAGACAUGUUAUCGAGACAAUUGUUGGCAUCAAAGUCGUUGUGAAUAACGCACCAGAGAGGGUGUUAGUCCCGUGUGUGAUGUUGACGAAAUUGUUGUGAAUAGCAAUGUCAUAGAGUCGGAUUGUUUGGGAAUGCAGUCUAAAGUGGGUGGUAAACUCCAUCUAAAGCUAAAUAUUACCUCGAGACCGAUAGCGAACAAGUACCGCGAGGGAAAGUUGAAAAGCACUCUGAAAAGAAAGUGAAAAGUACGUGAAACCGUUAAUGGGGAAGCGUACGAUAGAAUCAAAGUGAUGCAUUGUGGGUGUGCGUAAUGUGUGAAAGCAUAUACGUAACAGGAAUCAAUGCAUUACGCGCUGGGCUCGUUGCGAACCGAUUGACAAUGCAAAAGAGUGGAUGACCAAAGGCAUGCCAUAAGGUAUGAAUUAAUUAUCCGUCUUUGCAAUUGUUGUAAAAUUGAGUUUGUGACGGUGGUGUGUAGUCGUGAUGCAGGAGUGGUGGAGAGCGGUAGUGUUGUAGUUUGGUUCAAAGAAUCGAAGACAACACUAGUGAGGGAAGCCAAAACUGUGUUAGGGCGAAAUACGAAAGUGACACACAAAUCUCAGCGAGAUAUGCUAUUGUA